AGGAUGAACGCUAGCGGCAGGCCUAAUACAUGCAAGUCGUUACGGCAACACAGUUGCGAGCAAUCGCAACCGGUGGCGAGUGGCGCACGGGUGAGUAACGCGUAUGUAACCUACCCUUCUCCGGGACAUAACUCCGCGAAAGCGGUGCUAAUAUCCCAUACCAACUCAUCAAGACAUCUUCUUGAGUUGAAAGCAGCAAUGCGGUGAAGGAUGGGCAUGCGUCCCAUUAGCUGGUUGGUGAGGUAAUGGCCCACCAAGGCUACGAUGGGUAGGGGUUCUGAGAGGAAAGCCCCCCACACUGGUACUGAGACACGGACCAGACUCUUACGGGAGGCAGCAGUAAGGAAUAUUGGGCAAUGGUCGAAAGACUGACCCAGCCAUGCCGCGUGCAGGAUGAAGGCCCUAUGGGUUGUAAACUGCUUUUAGCCGGGAAUAAACACCCGUUUUAUAACGGGCCCGAAGGUACCGGCUGAAUAAGCAUCGGCUAACUCCGUG
rnacentral:rRNA from 1 species